rnacentral:pre_miRNA from 1 species
GGCGAGCCCUGACUGGGAUAUGAGAGGACGAGUACAUUGAAUUCAACCAUUACUUGUACCCGUAAUCUUCAUAAUCCGAGCCAGGGGGAGCC